rnacentral:tRNA from 1 species
GCGGAUGUAGUUCAAUGGUAGAACUCCUGCCUUCCAAGCAGAAAGUGCGGGUUCGAUUCCCGUCAUCCGCUCCA